rnacentral:rRNA from 1 species
GAUGAACGCUGGCGGCGUGCCUAAUACAUGCAAGUCGAGCGAACAGACGAGGAGCUUGCUCCUCUGACGUUAGCGGCGGACGGGUGAGUAACACGUGGAUAACCUACCUAUAAGACUGGGAUAACUUCGGGAAACCGGAGCUAAUACCGGAUAACAUGUUGAACCGCAUGGUUCAACAGUGAAAGACGGUCUUGCUGUUACUUAUAGAUGGAUCCGCGCCGCAUUAGCUAGUUGGUAAGGUAACGGCUUACCAAGGCAACGAUGCGUAGCCGGCCUAAGAGGGUGAUCGGCCACACUGGAACUGAGACACGGUCCAGACUCCUACGGGAGGCAGCAGUAGGGAAUCUUCCGCAAUGGGCGAAAGCCUGACGGAGCAACGCCGCGUGAGUGAAGAAGGUCUUCGGAUCGUAAAACUCUGUUAUUAGGGAAGAACAAAUGUGUAAGUAACUAUGCACGUCUUGACGGUACCUAAUCAGAAAGCCACGGCUAACUACGUGCCAGCCGCCGCGGUAA